rnacentral:rRNA from 1 species
UACGGAGGGUGCGAGCGCUAAUCGGAAUUACUGGGCGUAAAGGGUGCGUAGGUGGUUUGGUAAGUUAUUUGUGAAAUUCCUGGGCUUAACCUGGGGUGGUCAGAUAAGACUGUCAGACUGGAGUAUGGGAGAGGGUAGUGGAAUUUCCGGUGUAGCGGUGAAAUGCGUAGAGAUCGGAAGGAACACCAGUGGCGAAGGCGGCUACCUGGCCUGAUACUGACACUGAGGCACGAAAGCGUGGGGAGCAAACAGGAUUAGAUACCCUGGUAGUCCACGCUGUAAACGAUGUCAACUAGCUGUUGGUUUUAUUUAAUAAGAUUAGUGGCGCGGCAAACGCGAUAAGUUGACCGCCUGGGGAGUACGGUCGCAAGAUUAAA